AGUGAACGCUGGCGGUAGGCCUAACACAUGCAAGUCGAACGGCAGCACAGUAAGAGCUUGCCCUUACGGGUGGCGAGUGGCGGACGGGUGAGGAAUACAUCGGAAUCUACUUUUUCGUGGGGGAUAACGUAGGGAAACUUACGCUAAUACCGCAUACGACCUACGGGUGAAAGCAGGGGAUCUUCGGACCUUGCGCGAUUGAAUGAGCCGAUGUCGGAUUAGCUAGUUGGCGGGGUAAAGGCCCACCAAGGCGACGAUCCGUAGCUGGUCUGAGAGGAUGAUCAGCCACACGGGAAGUGAGACACGGUCAAGACGCCUACGGGAGGGAGCAGUGGGGAAUAGUGGACAAUGGGCGCAAGCCUGAUCCAGCCAUACCGCGUGGGUGAAGAAGGCCUUCGGGUUGUAAAGCCCUUUUGUUGGGAAAGAAAAGCAGCAGGUUAAUACCCCGCUGUUCUGACGGUACCCAAAGAAUAAGCACCGGCUAACUUCGUG
rnacentral:rRNA from 1 species